rnacentral:rRNA from 1 species
AUGACGACUGGCGCACGGGUGAGUAACGCGUAUCCAACCUUCCCAUAACUACGGGAUAACCCGUUGAAAGACGGCCUAAUACCCUAUAUUCAUCGUUAAUCGCAUGAUUGGAGAUGGAAAGAUUUAUUGAUUACAGAUGGGCAUGCGUCCCAUUAGCUGGUUGGUAAGGUAACGGCUUACCAAGGCAACGAUGGGUAGGGGGACUGAGAGGUUGACCCCCCACACUGGUACUGAGACACGGACCAGACUCCUACGGGAGGCAGCAGGA